GUACACUCCUGCGGGAGGCAGCAGUGGGGAAUUUUGGACAAUGGGCGAAAGCCUGAUCCAGCAAUGCCGCGUGAGUGAAGAAGGCCUUCGGGUUGUAAAGCUCUUUUGUCAGGGAAGAAACGGUGAAAGCUAAUAUCUUUUGCUAAUGACGGUACCUGAAGAAUAAGCACCGGCUAACUACGUGCCAGCAGCCGCGGUAAUACGUAGGGUGCAAGCGUUAAUCGGAAUUACUGGGCGUAAAGCGUGCGCAGGCGGUUUUGUAAGUCUGAUGUGAAAUCCCCGGGCUCAACCUGGGAAUUGCAUUGGAGACUGCAAGGCUAGAAUCUGGCAGAGGGGGGUAGAAUUCCACGUGUAGCAGUGAAAUGCGUAGAUAUGUGGAGGAACACCGAUGGCGAAGGCAGCCCCCUGGGUCAAGAUUGACGCUCAUGCACGAAAGCGUGGGGAGCAAACAGGAUUAGAAACCCCAGUAGUCCCAUG
rnacentral:rRNA from 1 species